GUCUACGGCCAUACUAUGCUGAACCCGCCUGAUCUCAGCUGAUCUCGGAAGCUAAGCAGGGUCGCGCCUGGGUGGUACUUGGAAGAGAGAAAAUAGAAGUCACACAUA
rnacentral:rRNA from 1 species